UGUCCAUGUGGGAUUCAAACCCACGACCCUUGUAUGCUAGACGAGUGUUUUACCAACGAAGCUACUGAAAC
rnacentral:tRNA from 1 species